UGGCGAUGAUUUGAAUUUAUCCGUGCUUCUAUGAUUAUGAACCAUGAAGCAAAAAGUCAAUGGUUGAAUUGCUUAAUAUAAGCCA
rnacentral:snoRNA from 1 species